AUGUGAUGGAAAAUGAGAAGAAGGAGGAUUGUGAUAUAAUUGAAAUAAUUUAUUUUUACGAUUAGAAUAUUUAAUUAAGGAUCCUAGCAAUGUUCUUUCUACCACUUUUAUGCGAUACGUUGACCUAUGAGUUCAGAUUUUCAUCCUCAAUUUGAAGCCAUUAUCGAGCACAAUUGGUAACGAAUAGAGGGCGUGGGUCACUGUAACGACAAAUUGUGAGUAUGGACGAUAAAUCACGUAAUAUUUGUACGCCAUAGAAUGCGUUAACCUGGUUAAAGAACCGGAGGACGAUUAUAAAUAUGGAACGAUAUUCGACGUAUUUACGUUCAUUUGAGAGAUAUAGUUUAGAUGUGACGGCAACCAACGAGCGAUUUCAGCGUGCAAGUUGUUCACGCUGGUGUAGCUGCGGCCAGGCUAGCGGAGUGCUGCAUGAAACGAAAUAAAUGGUAAUCUGAAGACACAAGGUCAGGGCUAUAUGGCGGAUGUGACAACACAUCCUAACCUAGAUCCAAUAAUUUUUGUGAAAAUUCAGUCUGCUCAACUUGCGCUUUUUUCGUAAAAAAUACGCAGCCCACGGUGUGCUUCUCUGUAAAGAGUGGGCAGUCCAUGGCCCACGCUUAACGUCGGACAACGCAGCGCUGAAAAGGCUAAAAAUUUGG
rnacentral:misc_RNA from 1 species